AUUGAACGCUGGCGGCAUGCUUUACACAUGCAAGUCGAACGGCAGCGGGGGCUUCGGCCCGCCGGCGAGUGGCGAACGGGUGAGUAAUACAUCGGAACGUAUCCUUGAGUGGGGAAUAACGCAUCGAAAGAUGUGCUAAUACCGCAUACCUCUCAGGAGAAAAGCAGGGGAUCGCAAGACCUUGCGCUGAAGGAGCGGCCGAUGUCUGAUUAGCUUGUUGGUGAGGUAAAGGCUUACCAAGGCAACGAUCAGUAGUUGGUCUGAGAGGGUGAACGGCCACACUGGGACUGAGACACGGCCCAG
rnacentral:rRNA from 1 species